rnacentral:rRNA from 1 species
GACGAACGCUGGCGGCGUGCCUAAUACAUGCAAGUCGAGCGGAUGGAAGGAAGCUUGCUUCCUAAAGUCAGCGGCGGACGGGUGAGUAACACGUGGGCAACCUGCCCCUAAGAUCGGGAUAACUUCGGGAAACCGGAGCUAAUACCGGAUAUGAUUAUGUCUCACAUGAGACAUAAUGGAAAGACGGUUUCGGCUGUCACUUAGGGAUGGGCCCGCGGCGCAUUAGCUAGUUGGUGAGGUAACGGCUCACCAAGGCGACGAUGCGUAGCCGACCUGAGAGGGUGAUCGGCCACACUGGGACUGAGACACGGCCCAGACUCCUACGGGAGGCAGCAGUAGGGAAUCUUCCGCAAUGGACGAAAGUCUGACGGAGCAACGCCGCGUGAGUGAAGAAGGUUUUCGGAUCGUAAAACUCUGUUGUUAGGGAAGAACAAGUACCAUAGUAACUGAUGGUACCUUGACGGUACCUAACCAGAAAGCCACGGCUAACUACGUGCCAGCAGCCGCGGUAAUAC